rnacentral:rRNA from 1 species
CUACGGGUUGCACCAGUGAGGAAUAUUGCACAAUGGGGGGAACCCUGAUGCAGCAACGCCGCGUGGAGGAUGACGCAUUUCGGUGUGUAAACUCCUUUUAUAUGGCAAGAAAAUGACGGUAGCAUAUGAAUAAGCACCGGCUAGCUCCGUGCCAGCAGCCGCGGUAAUACGGAGGGUGCAAGCGUUACUCGGAAUCACUGGGCGUAAAGGACGCGUAGGCGGGUUGGAAAGUCAGGUGUGAAAUCCUACAGCUUAACUGUAGAACUGCACUUGAAACUUCUAAUCUAGAGUAUGGGAGGGGGAGAUGGAAUUAGUGGUGUAGGGGUAAAAUCCGUAGAUAUCACUAGGAAUACCUAAAGCGAAGGCGAUCUCCUGGAACAUUACUGACGCUAAGGCGUGAAAGCGUGGGGAGCAAACAGGAUUAGAUACCCCUGUAGUC